UACGUAGGGAGCAAGCGUUGUUCGGAUUUACUGGGCGUAAAGGGCGCGUAGGCGGCCAACUAAGUCGGAUGUGAAAUCCCCAGGCUUAACCUGGGAACUGCAUCCGAUACUGGAUGGCUUGAAUUCGGGAGAGGGAUGCAGAAUUCCAGGUGUAGCGGUGAAAUGCGUAGAUAUCUGGAGGAAUACCGGUGGCGAAGGCGGCAUCCUGGACCGACAUUGACGCUGAACGGCGAAAGCUAGGGGAGCAAACGGG
rnacentral:rRNA from 1 species